CCUACGGGUGGCUGCAGUGGGGAAUAUUGGACAAUGGGCGAAAGCCUGAUCCAGCCAUGCCGCGUGUGUGAAGAAGGCCUUCGGGUUGUAAAGCACUUUCAGUGGGGAAGAAAGCCUUGGGGCUAAUACCCUCGAGGAAGGACAUCACCCACAGAAGAAGCACCGGCUAACUCCGUGCCAGCAGCCGCGGUAAUACGGAGGGUGCGAGCGUGAAUCGGAAUUACUGGGCGUAAAGCGCGCGUAGGCGGUCUGAUAAGCCGGUUGUGAAAGCCCCGGGCUCAACCUGGGAACGGCAUCCGGAACUGUCAGGCUAGAGUGCAGGAGAGGAAGGUAGAAUUCCCGGUGUAGCGGUGAAAUGCGUAGAGAUCGGGAGGAAUACCAGUGGCGAAGGCGGCCUUCUGGACUGACACUGACGCUGAGGUGCGAAAGCGUGGGUAGCAAACAGGAUUAGAUACCCCGGUAGUC
rnacentral:rRNA from 1 species